rnacentral:rRNA from 1 species
AGUUUGAUCCUGGCUCAGAUUGAACGCUGGCGGCAUGCCUAACACAUGCAAGUCGAUCGGCAGCAGGUCCUUCGGCAUGCUGGCGACCGGCGGACGGGUGAGUAACACGUGGAAAUCUGCCCAUCGGUGGGGGAUAGCCCGAGGAAACUCGGAUUAAUACCGCAUACGCCCUUCGGGGCAAAGUAGACCUCUGAUUUAAGCUUACGCCGAUGGAUGAGCCCGCGNCCGAUUAGCUAGUUGGUGGGGUAAAGGCCUACCAAGGCAACGAUCGGUAGCUGGUCUGAGAGGACGAUCAGUCACACCGGAACUGAGACACGGUCCGGACUCCUACGGGAGGCAGCAGUGGGGAAUAUUGGACAAUGGGAGAAAGCCUGAUCCAGCAAUGCCGCGUGGGUGAAGAAGGCUUGAGGGUUGUAAAGCCCUUUCAGCAGGNAGGAAAAGCGNACGGUUAAUAUCCNNGCGUCUUGACGUUA